AAAAUACAAAACUGUCGCUGCUGUAUUUUCUGUUUGGUUCCUGGGAGAUCCAUGACGAUUUACGACCCUGCUUUCCCCUCUCUAAAAUCGGGAACAAUUUCAUUCUCUCCAUAAAGCAAAGAGAAUGGUAUGAAUCAAGCCCACCCAUGAUCCCAUCAACCCUUAAAACCCUCCUCCUCCUCUCCUUCGCCCUCAUCCUCUACCUCCUCCUCCACGUGCCGCCACCUUACCUCCCCCAGUCACUGCUCUCCACCCCCCACGAGGCAGCGCCGCUGCCCACAUCCUCCCACCAUCUCCUUUUCUCAAUCGCCUCCUCUGCCGGCUCCCUCGGCCGCCGUGCCCCCUACCUCCGCCUCUGGUCGAACUCCGCCCGCGCCAUCCUCUUCCUCGACUCGCCGCCACCCCCUGAUCCCUCCUUCGCCGCGCUCCCGCCGAUCGUCCUCUCCGGAGAUACCUCCCGCUUCCCCUACACCUUCCGCCGUGGCCUCCCUUCCGCCGUCCGCGUCGCGCGGAUUAUCAAGGAAGCCGUCGACCGCAACGAGUCCGACAUCCGGUGGUUCGUCUUCGGCGACGAUGACACGGUCUUCUUCGUCGAUAAUUUAGUGAGAACGCUGUCGAAGUACGAUCACGAUCAAUGGUUCUACAUUGGGAGUAGCUCGGAGAGUUACGAGCAGAAUGAAUCGAACUCGUUUGAUAUGGCGUUCGGUGGUGGUGGCUUUGCAUUGAGCCAUUCGCUUGCUAGGGCUUUGGCUGGGGUUUUUGAUUCUUGUCUUAUGAGGUACCCGCAUUUGUUCGGAAGUGAUGCUAGGAUUUUUUCAUGCUUGGCAGAGCUGGGUGUCGGGUUAACGCAUGAGCCAGGAUUUCAUCAGGUUGAUAUUCGCGGAAAUUUGUUUGGGAUGCUGUCUGCACAUCCAUUAUCACCUUUGGUGUCCCUUCACCAUUUGGAUAGUGUGGAUCCAAUCUUCCCUAACAGGAACAGGACUCAAGCUUUGGAACAUCUUUUCGAAGCUGUAAAUAUUGAUCCUGCCAGGAUUUUGCAGCAAACCAUCUGUUAUGACCGUUUGAGUUCAUUGACUAUUUCAGUUGCAUGGGGUUUUUCUAUUCAGGUGUUUGAAGGCAAUCUACUUCUUCCAGAUCUCCUUCCAUUGCAGAGAACUUUUACACCAUGGAGGAGAGGUAGGAAUAUUAGCUUGAGUCGCUAUAUGUUUAACACGAGAGAGUAUCCAAAAGAUCCAUGUAAAAGGCCUGUUGUUUUCUUUCUUCAAAGUGUUGGUUCUAACCAUGAUGGGGUCUGGAGUAACUACACCAGGCAUGCCGUUGGAAACUGUGGGCAAACUGGUGCUAUAAAGAACUUGGAGCAGAUUAGGGUGUUGUCACAGAAGCUAGAGCUCAAUAUUGAACAGAUGAAGGCUCCUCGUCGUCAGUGCUGCAGCAUUUUUCCUCAAUUCAAUAAAUCAAUGGUUCUUAGCAUUAGACAAUGUGGAGUAGAUGAACUAAUUUCCAUGCAUUUAUAGAGACUCCUUGGACAUUUCUGCUCAUGAGGAAAAGCAUUCUGUUGUACAAUACAAACUUUGAAGCACUUUGGUCUCCUUAUUUAAAUUUCAGGCUAAGGUGCAAGAUUGAAAUGUCUUAAGACCCUCCUAGUCAAUGACCAAGACCGAGACUGUGAACCAUGUUGUGACAUGUUCUAUCAAAUAGAAGACACUGUAGUUUUUUUUCUCUUUUCGUUAUUCUUCUUCUAACUUUGUUUGUGCUUGCAAGAAGACAUUAUUUAUGAGGAAAAAGGAAGUUGCUUUAAAGAUGUCGAAAAAGACAGGCUUCAAGGUUAUGGCUAAAGGAAACUAUCUGGGCAGUCUUCUGUCAGCAAAGGUUUUUGGUGAAGAAUUAGGAUUACUGUUUUGUCUAAUAAAAACUCAUACCAAUGGCCCCGUUACCGGAUGACUAUACCAAAA